rnacentral:lncRNA from 10 species
GGCAUGGUGGCUCAUGCCUGUAAUCCCAGUAUUUUGGGAGGUUGAGGCAGGAGGAUCACUUGAGCUCAGGAGUUCGAGACCAGCCUGAGCAACAUGGCAAGAUCUCAAUCUCCACAAAAAAAUUAAAAAAUUAGCCAGGUGUGGUGAUGUACACCUGUAGUCCCAGCUCCUCAGAUGGCUGAGGUGGAAGGGUCCCGUGAGCCCAGGAGGUUGAGGCUUCAGUGAGCUAUGAUUGCGCCACUGGACUCCAGCCUGAGCAAAAGAGCGAGACCUUGUCUCAACAACAAACAAAAAACAUAUUCCAGAAGUUAAGGACUUCAAUUUCCAGAUUAAAAGCACCACCAGUUACCUGCAAUAUGAUGAAAAUACACUUACAUCAAAACAUGUCAUAUGAAAUUUUAGAACUCUGGGAACAAAGAUGGUUUCUACGUGCUUCCAGAGAGGAAAACCAAGACAAACACACUCAUACAAAAUCAGUAAUUGGAAUGGCUUUGAACCUCUCAACAGCAAUAUUGGAAACUGGAACACAGUGAAAAUUGCAUUCAAAAUACUGAAGAAAAAUAAUUUACAACCCAGAAUCUCAUAUCCAGCCUAACUAUGAACCAGUGUGGGGAGUGAGAAUAAAGACAUUUUCAAACAACCCAGGUUUCAGAACAUUUACCUCCCAUGUAUCCCAGUAGGAGACUACCUGAUGAGCAGUGGUUUGAAAUAUUGCCUGCACAUCAACACCAUCAUGCAAGCCAGGUGUGGUGGCUUGCACCUGUAAUCCCAGAUACUCAAGUGACUGAGGUGGGAGAACUGCUUGAGGCCUGGAGUUUGAGAUCAGCCUGGAGACAUAGUGAGACCCCAUCUCAAAAAAAAAAAAAGACACCCAAAAACAAAACCAUUGUGUGACACUUUAAAAAUAAUAGUCUUGGGGCUGGGUGUGGUGGCUCAUGCCUGUAAUUCCAGCACUUUGGGAGGCCAAGGCAGGUGGAUCACUUGAGGUCAGGGGUUCCAGACCAGCCUGGCAAACAUGGCAAAACCUUGUCUCCACUAAAAAUACAAAUAUUAGCCGGGCAUGGUGGUGCACGCCUGUAAUCCCAGCUACUCGGGAGACUGAGGCAGGAGAAUCACUUGAACCCGGAAGGCAGAGGUUGCAGUGAGUGGAGACUGUACCACUGCACUCCAGCCUGGGUGACAGAGCGAGACUCCGUCUC